UUGGCGGUUUUCCGGGACCGCUUCCAACCUGGCUGUCUCAAAGGGAACCAGAUUAUGCAAGGCUUUGUGUUCCAGCUUAGGCUAAAAACCAAGAACAACUUUAUCCUAAGGUCAAGAGGAAAUAUUUGAUAGGUUCUAAAGAAGGGAGAUGAUGUCUGUGUAAUAACCUUGACUGAGAAUAAGACUGAGGGAGGCGAGAGUAGGAUGGAAGAUUCUUACUGGGAGUGAGAGGAGAAAGAAGAGAUCUGAUGGAGAAGUUGGAGAGAUUUGAAGAAUGAGAUUUGCACCACUGCUGGUGUGAAAAUGGAGGCGGCAACAUGAUGAGGGUUGACUGGAGCCUAAUGAGAUGAGAGCCAUUCCCAGCAGACAGUCAGCAAAAAUGGGAGACUCAGCCCACAUCCACAAAAAAAAUGAAUUCUGCCAACAACUUGAAUGAGCUUGGAAGCAGGUCUCCAAGCCCACCCAA